GACGAACGCUGGCGGCGUGCCUAAUACAUGCAAGUAGAACGCUGAAGAGAGGAGCUUGCUCUUCUUGGAUGAGUUGCGAACGGGUGAGUAACGCGUAGGUAACCUGCCUUGUAGCGGGGGAUAACUAUUGGAAACGAUAGCUAAUACCGCAUAACAAUGGAUGACACAUGUCAUUUAUUUGAAAGGGGCAAUUGCUCCACUACAAGAUGGACCUGCGUUGUAUUAGCUAGUAGGUGAGGUAACGGCUCACCUAGGCGACGAUACAUAGCCGACCUGAGAGGGUGAUCGGCCACACUGGGACUGAGACACGGCCCAGACUCCUACGGGAGGCAGCAGUAGGGAAUCUUCGGCAAUGGGGGCAACCCUGACCGAGCAACGCCGCGUGAGUGAAGAAGGUUUUCGGAUCGUAAAGCUCUGUUGUAAGUCAAGAACGAGUGUGAGAGUGGAAAGUUCACACUGUGACGGUCGCUUACCAGAAAGGGACGGCUAACUACGUGCCAGCAGCCGCGGUAAUACGUAGGUCCCGAGCGUUGUCCGGAUUUAUUGGGCGUAAAGCGAGCGCAGGCGGUUUGAUAAGUCUGAAGUUAAAGGCUGUGGCUCAACCAUAGUUCGCUUUGGAAACUGUCAAACUUGAGUGCAGAAGGGGAGAGUGGAAUUCCAUGUGUAGCGGUGAAAUGCGUAGAUAUAUGGAGGAACACCGGUGGCGAAAGCGGCUCUCUGGUCUGUAACUGACGCUGAGGCUCGAAAGCGUGGGGAGCGGACAGGAUUAGAUACCCUGGUAGUCCACGCCGUAAACGAUGAGUGCUAGGUGUUGGAUCCUUUCCGGGAUUCAGUGCCGCAGCUAACGCAUUAAGCACUCCGCCUGGGGAGUACGACCGCAAGGUUGAAACUCAAAGGAAUUGACGGGGGCCCGCACAAGCGGUGGAUUAUGUGGCUUAAUUCGAUGAUACGCGAGGAACCUUACCAAGACUUAAAUGGGAAUUGACAGCUAUAGAGAUAUGGUUUUCUUCGGACAAUUUUCAAGGUGCUGCAUGGUUGUCGUCAGCUCGUGCCGUGAGGUGUUAGGUUAAGUCCUGCAACGAGCGCAACCCUUGUCACUAGUUGCCAUCAUUAAGUUGGGGACUCUAGUGAGACUGCCUACGCAAGUAGAGAGGAAGGUGGGGAUGACGUCAAAUCAUCACGGCCCUUACGUCUUGGGCCACACACGUAAUACAAUGGGCGAUACAGAGGGCAGCUACACAGCGAUGUGAUGCGAAUCUCGAAAGUCGUUCUCAGUUCGGAUUGGAGUCUGCAACUCGACUCUAUGAAGCUGGAAUCGCUAGUAAUCGCGUAUCAGCCAUGGCGCGGUGAAUACGUUCCCAGGCCU
rnacentral:rRNA from 1 species